UAAUACGGAGGGGGCUAGCGUUGUUCGGAAUUAUUGGGCGUAAAGGGCGUGUAGGCGGCCGAUCAAGUCGGGUGUGAAAUCCCUCGGCUCAACCGAGGAACUGCACCCGAUACUGCUCGGCUAGAGUCCGGGAGGGGAUGGCGGAAUUCCCAGUGUAGCGGUGAAAUGCGUAGAUAUUGGGAAGAACACCGGUGGCGAAGGCGGCCAUCUGGACCGGAACUGACGCUGAGGCGCGAAAGCCAGGGGAGCGAAUG
rnacentral:rRNA from 1 species